GACGAACGCUGGCGGCGUGCCUAAUACAUGCAAGUCGAGCGCUGAAGGCUGGUACUUGUACCCACUGGAUGAGCAGCGAACGGGAGAGUAACGCGUGGGGAAUCUGCCUUUGAGCGGGGGACAACAUUUGGAAACGAAUGCUAAUACCGCAUAAAAACUUUAAACACAAGUUUUAAGUUUGAAAGAUGCAAUUGCAUCACUCAAAGAUGAUCCCGCGUUGUAUUAGCUAGUUGGUGAGGUAAAGGCUCACCAAGGCGAGGAUACAUAGCCGACCUGAGAGGGUACUCGGCCAAACUGGGCUGGGGACACGGCCCAAAAUACUGCGGGAGGCAGCAGUAGGGGAUCUUCGGCGAUGGACGCAAGUCGGACCGAGCGACGCCGCGUGAGUGCAGAAGGUUGUCGUAUCGUAAAACUCUGUUGGUAGAGAAGAACGUUGGUGAGAGUGGAAAGCGCAUCAAGUGACGGUAACGACACAGAAAGCGACGGCUAACUACGUG
rnacentral:rRNA from 1 species